rnacentral:tRNA from 1 species
AGGUAUAGCUCAGUGGUAGAACAUGUGCUUAGCAUGCACAAGGCCCUGGGCUCAAUUCCCAGCACUU